CGUAGGGUGCGAGCGUUAAUCGGAAUUACUGGGCGUAAAGCGUGCGUAGGCGGUUCGUUAAGUCAGUUGUGAAAGCCCCGGGCUCAACCUGGGAAUUGCGGUUGAAACUGGCGAACUAGAAUCUGGCAGAGGGGGUGGAAUUCCACGUGUAGCAGUGAAAUGCGUAGAGAUGUGGAGGAACACCGAUGGCGAAGGCAGCCCCCUGGGCUGAGAUUGACGCUCAGGCACGAAAGCGUGGGGAGCAAACAGGAUUAGAUACCCUGGUAGUCCACGCCCUAAACGAUGUCAACUAGGUGUUGGAGGAGCAAUCCUUUGGUACCGCAGCUAACGCGUGAAGUUGACCGCCUGGGGAGUACGGUCGCAAGAUUA
rnacentral:rRNA from 1 species